rnacentral:rRNA from 1 species
UACGAAGGGGGCUAGCGUUGCUCGGAAUCACUGGGCGUAAAGCGCACGUAGGCGGAUCGCUAAGUCAGGGGUGAAAUCCUGGAGCUCAACUCCAGAACUGCCUUUGAUACUGGCAAUCUCGAGUCCGGGAGAGGUGAGUGGAACUGCGAGUGUAGAGGUGAAAUUCGUAGAUAUUCGGAAGAACACCAGUGGCGAAGGCGGCUCACUGGCCCGGUACUGACGCUGAGAUACGAAAGCGUGGGGAGCAAACAGG